rnacentral:rRNA from 1 species
CAAUAGCGUAUAUUAACGUUGUUGCAGUUAAAAAGCUCGUAGUUGGAUUUCUGGAGGGAGCGUCGGCCCGUAUUUACGAGUGCGUGACGUCUCUGUCCAUCCUUGCGGGAAGGCACGGCAUUGAUUUGUUGUGUCGGAUCGCAUCAUUUACUGUGAAAAAAUUAGAGUGUUCAAAGCAGGCUUUCGCUUGAAUACAUUAGCAUGGAAUAAUAAGAUAGGACUGUGGUGUUAUUUUGUUGGUUGAGCCUAAAGUAAUGAUUAAUAGGGAUAGUUGGGGGCACCUGUAUUGCGUUGUCAGAGGUGAAAUUCUUGGAUUUACGCAAGACAAACAGCUGCGAAAGCGUCUGCCAAGGAUGUUUUCAUUAA